rnacentral:rRNA from 1 species
GACGAACGCUGGCGGCGUGCUUAACACAUGCAAGUCGAACGGAAAGGCCCUGCUUUUGUGGGGUGCUCGAGUGGCGAACGGGUGAGUAACACGUGAGUAACCUGCCCUUUACUUUGGUAUAACUUCAGGAAACUGGGGCUAAUACCGGAUAUGAGCUCCUGCUGCAUGGUGUGGGUUGGAAAGUUUCGGCGGUUGGGGAUGGACUCGCGGCUUAUCAGCUUGUUGGUGGGGUAGUGGCUUACCAAGGCUUUGACGGGUAGCCGGCCUGAGAGGGUGACCGGCGACAAUGGGACUGAGAGACGGCACAGAAUGCAACGGGAGGAAGCAGUGGGGAAUAUUGCAAAAUGGGCGGAAGCAUGAUGAAGAAACGCAGCGUGCGGGAUGAAGGCCUUCGGGGUGAAAAAAGAUUUCGAAUGUGAAGAAGAGUGAGUGACGGUAAUGGGUAAAGAAGCACCGGCUAACUACGUG